AUCAUUAGUUUUUUAAUUGAGAACUUGUUUGAAUGGUUGAAUGAGAAAUAGACUUUUUUAAUAGAAAAAUUGAAUUUUACAUUUUAAUUAAAAGGUUAAAAUAUUUUUAAAAGACGAGAAGACCCUAUAGAGUUUUAUAAUUUAUAUUUAAUACAAAAAAAAAUUAAUAAAUAUUUUUAUUUAAAUAAUUAUUUUGUUGGGGCGACGAUAAAAUUUAAUAAACUUUUAUUUUUUUUUACAUUAAUAUAUGGGGGGCUGAUCCGCUAUUGGCGAUUAAAAAUUUAAAUUACCUUAGGGAUAACAGCGUAAUUUUUUUUUUAAGUUCAUAUUAAUAAAAAAUUUUGCGACC
rnacentral:rRNA from 1 species